UUUCUAUCUCCGCGAGAAUUGAAAAUUCUCAGUCUUUGCUUUUCUAGAAAGAACACCAACGCGCUUGCAGUCCUGACUCUCUCUCUCUCUCUCUCUCUCGGCAAAGUCAAACCAACAAAUUCAUCUCCUUCUCUUAAUAUAAUUUUAUUUCCUCUCUUUCUGUCUUCAAACUCUCCCAAAAUUCUUCUUCUUGUUCUUUCUCUUAGUGAUCUCCGCUAUCUCUGUCUAUUUCUUUGUUUUUCCUGUCGCUGUUUAGCCAACGGAACUCCGUUUGUUCAUCCGAUGAGUAAUAACACGGCGUCGUCUAGUGCAGGAGCCAAUGGGUCGGCUGAUUCUGCUGCUCCCAGGAGAAAUUCAAAGCGACCCAAAUAUUCAAGGUUUACCCAGCAAGAACUUCCGGCUUGUAAACCAAUUCUCACGCCACGAUGGGUGAUUUCGGCAUUUAUGCUUGUUAGCAUUAUUUUUGUUCCUAUUGGAAUUGCUUCCUUGUUCGCUUCCCGAGAUGUUGUUGAAAUUGUUGA
rnacentral:misc_RNA from 1 species